CAGGCCUAACACAUACAAGUCGAAUGAUGUUUUCGGGCAUUCAGGAGCAUGGGUGCGUAAAGCGUGGGAAUAUGCCAUUGGCUCUGUGAUUCACGUUGGAAAUGACGGUCAAUACUGCACGAUGAGGUCAGUCUUAAGAUAUAUCGGCCUAGGGAUGAGCCUGUGUAGGAUUAGCUAGUUGCUGGGGUAAAGACCUACCUAGUCGACGAUCUUUAGCUGCUCGCAGUGGAUGAUCAGUCCACACUGGGACUGAGACAUGUCACAGAUUCUUAUGGGAGGCAGCUGUGUGGAAUAUUGGACAAUGGUCGUAGAGCUUGAUCCAGCAAUUCCGCAGUGAGUGAUGAAGACCUAAGGGUAGAAUAGCUCUUUUACACCGAGAUGAUAAUGACAAUACACGGGAGAAUAUAGUCCCCGGCUAAGUCUGUGUCAGCAGCGGCAGGUAAU
rnacentral:rRNA from 1 species